GACGAACGCUGGCGGUGUGCUUAACACAUGCAAGUCGAACGGAAAGGCCCUGCUUUUGUGGGGUGCCCGAGUGGCGAACGGGUGAGUAACACGUGAGUAACCUGCCCUUGACUUUGGGAUAACUUCAGGAAACUGGGGCUAAUAUCGGAUAGGAGCUCCUGCUGCAUGGUGGGGGUUGGAAAGUUUCGGCGGUUGGGGAUGGACUCGCGGCUUAUCAGCUUGUUGGUGGGGUAGUGGCUUACCAAGGCUUUGACGGGUAGCCGGCCUGAGAGGGUGACCGGCCACAUUGGGACUGAGAUACGGCCCAGACUCCUACGGGAGGCAGCAGUGGGGAGUAUUGCACAAUGGGCGGAAGCCUGAUGCAGCAACGCCGCGUGCGGGAUGACGGCCUUCGGGUUGUAAACCGCUUUCGCCUGUGACGAAGCGUGAGUGACGGUAAUGGGUAAAGAAGCACCGGCUAACUACGUG
rnacentral:rRNA from 1 species